UACGAAGGGAGCUAGCGUUGUUCGGAAUCACUGGGCGUAAAGCGCACGUAGGCGGAUGUGUCAGUCAGGGGUGAAAUCCCGGGGCUCAACCUCGGAACUGCCUUUGAUACAGCACGUCUUGAGUCCGAUAGAGGUGGGUGGAAUUCCUAGUGUAGAGGUGAAAUUCGUAGAUAUUCGGAAGAACACCAGUGGCGAAGGCGACUGACUGGACAAGUAUUGACGCUGAGGUGCGAAAGCGUGGGGAGCAAACAGG
rnacentral:rRNA from 1 species